CGACGGAGCACGUGAAAUUCCGUCGGAAUCUGGGAGGACCAUCUCCUAAGGCUAAAUACUCUCUAGUGACCGAUAGUGAACCAGUACCGUGAGGGAAAGGUGAAAAGUACCCCGGAAGGGGAGUGAAAGAGAACUUGAAACCGUGUGCUUACAAGUAGUCAGAGCCCGUUAAUGGGUGAUGGCGUGCCUUUUGUAGAAUGAACCGGCGAGUUACGAUCUGAUGCAAGGUUAAGCAGAAAAUGUGGAGCCGUAGCGAAAGCGAGUCUGAAUAGGGCGAAUGAGUAUUUGGUCGUAGACCCGAAACCAGGUGAUCUACCCUUGGUCAGGUUGAAGUUCAGGUAACACUGAAUGGAGGACCGAACCGACUUACGUUGAAAAGUGAGCGGAUGAACUGAGGGUAGCGGAGAAAUUCCAAUCGAACUUGGAGAUAGCUGGUUCUCUCCGAAAUAGCUUUAGGGCUAGCCUCAAGUGAUGAUUAUUGGAGGUAGAGCACUGUUUGGACGAGGGGCCCCUCUCGGGUUACCGAAUUCAGACAAACUCCGAAUGCCAAAUAAUUUAACUUGGGAGUCAGAAUGUGGGUGAUAAGGUCCAUAUUCGAAAGGGAAACAGCCCAGACCACCAGCUAAGGUCCCAAAAUAUAUGUUAAGUGGAAAAGGAUGUGGCGUUGCCCAGACAACUAGGAUGUUGGCUUAGAAGCAGCCAUCAUUUAAAGAGUGCGUAAUAGCUCACUAGUCGAGUGACACUGCGCCGAAAAUGUACCGGGGCUAAACAUAU
rnacentral:rRNA from 1 species